UACGAAGGGGGCUAGCGUUGCUCGGAAUGACUGGGCGUAAAGAGCUCGUAGGCGGUCUGUCGCGUCUGCUGUGAAAACCUGAGGCUCAACCUCAGGCCUGCAGUCGAUACGGGCGGACUUGAGUACUGCAGGGGAGACUGGAAUUCCUGGUGUAGCGGUGAAAUGCGCAGAUAUCAGGAGGAACACCGGUGGCGAAGGCGGGUCUCUGGGCAGUAACUGACGCUGAGGAGCGAAAGCGUGGGGAGCGAACAGG
rnacentral:rRNA from 1 species